UACAGAGGUCUCGAGCGUUGUUCGGAUUCAUUGGGCGUAAAGGGUGCGUAGGUGGCGUGGUAAGUCGGAUGUGAAAUCCCGGGGCUCAACCCCGGAACUGCAUUCGAUACUGCCAUGCUAGAGUACUGGAGAGGAGAUUGGAAUUUACGGUGUAGCAGUGAAAUGCGUAGAUAUCGUAAGGAAGACCAGUGGCGAAGGCGGAUCUCUGGACAGUUACUGACACUGAGGCACGAAGGCCAGGGGAGCAAACGGG
rnacentral:rRNA from 1 species